rnacentral:piRNA from 1 species
UGUUAAGGUCUCUGGUAAAAAAGCAUGAGC